ACCCUAAAUAACUAAGAGUUGGCUGUACGCCUUUUUUGGGGGGUGGGGAGGGAGACCUGCUUUAGCUCCUACACAGAUGACUAGAUUUUGAGUUAACUGUUUUAACAUUCUGGCAUUUUGUUCUCUUGAUAAAGAAAAAUCACACCCUUGCCAAGUUCAUGUAUUUUAAAAAAUGGAAAACUCUCCAGGUCACGGAGUGAAGAAAACACUUAAGUGUUUUAUGUCUAAAUGAAGCAAUAACAAUUCUGAUACCAGCAACAUCCCUUUUGAUUUAAAAAAGAUUGGUCCUCACAAUGUUCAAAUUAUUCUACACAAAUGACCUGUGAAAUUUUUUACAGUUGUAUUUUUUUGCCCAAGAUUCAUCAUAAAUCAUUCAAUUAAACUAAAUUAAAAUUGAUUUUAGCAGAAAGUAGAAAUGUUUCAGAAUAUAAAAUAUCACAUUACUGAUUUUACAAUUUGAUAACAACUAAAAAAAAAAUGCAUGUCACUAAAAAAAUUUUUCCAGUCUUU
rnacentral:lncRNA from 1 species